GGCCAUUGAUCAGAGGUGAUGGUUUGUUUUGAAAGCAAAUUGAAAGUGUUCAACUCACUUAUUGGCUU
rnacentral:tRNA from 1 species